UGUCAUCACACAUCACUUUACAAUGACUACAUCUACAUGCCUUUAACAGAAAAAUAGGUAGUUUUAAAAAGGAAAAAUUCUAUAGACGGUAUGUGGUAAAAUUUAAGAUGUAAAACACAGAAGCCCUCGUUCUGAUUCAUACAUCAAUUUGCUUUAUUUGGGGGCAAGUUUGCAUAUCCUUGGCACUGUUUGCGUCUAUUAACGGAAGUCUAGAGCCAUUUCAAUAAUAAUACAGAAAUUCAGAACAGUAAAACUAACAAUUCAAGUGUAGAAACUUCUAUUUGAAAUGUAAGUGGAGAUUUAACGGAGUGAAGAGAUGCCAAAGUUGUAUAAAAAAUUUAUAAAAUAGGAUUUGAUGCCAGUGUCCAUGUUACUGCUUUCACAUUCAGUGCCUGAUAAGUUAUUCUCCUGCAUUCUAAAGCCUGCAAAGCUGACUCACUGUUGGUUUCUAUGAAACCAAUUACAAGAACAAGCAAAAGCAUGGAGGACAUGAGUUUUCUUAAAAGGAUGUGAGGGCAAGAACAAAAUGCCAUAUCCAUAAGCAUUGCAUUUGCUUCAUUUAACUAGAUAUUCCCCAAAUGAUUGUAUCCCUAGCGGUUGAUACCAGCUAAUUUCCUAGGAGACAUCGUGACGUCGCUUCUUGAUACUGGCAUUUUCUGUAACCCAUUUUUUUCUUAAUGGUGAAAGUAAGUAUCACAUGGGUGUAAUGACUAUUUGGUUCCCAAAGGUCACUCCUAUCCCCUCUCAUACCAACCUUGCAGUAAAUGCUACAGCCUAAGAGAUAUCUUCGACCUUCGCUGAUGGCUCGUGUUGGUGACCUUGCUCUACCCCUUUAAAACUGUGGCCGUUCACAGUUUCUCAGUCAGUUUGCAGUUAGAGAUUGGACGAGGUAGUCUUACCAAUGAACAACAGAACUUCAAGCCUACCUUUUUCAUUUAUGAUAUCUUAUUGUAAUAACAGCAGUAAAUAGGUUGGAUGGACUCGUACAUGCUCUUCCAACCUAUCGACUACUGGUGAUAUACAACAAGAUACAUGGAAUUGUUUUCCCUUCGAGAUGAAGUAUAAUCGAUUGGAAAUUCGUUGAAAUUUG